rnacentral:rRNA from 1 species
UUGGGGUUGGGGUUGGGCUUGGGGCUAGGCGCGCCAAGUGUCGGUAGUGUUCGGAGGUGGCAGGCUAGGCGGCGUCGGCGCUGGCUGGUUUCGGUCUCGUUUGGGAUUGGGAUCCGCCGCUGAGGCGCGCCUCCGUCAGCUGCGUCGGCGCCGGCGGAGGAGGCCGGUUCCCCCGCUGCCUGCCGCCGGAGAAGGAGGGGUUUCCUACUACUGUGUUUGGGACGUUCCCUAGGUCGUCGUCAUACGUGGUUCACCGAAAUGACAGGUCUUUGGAGCGUGUGUCUGACGUCGCGUUCAAGAAGUCGACCUAUUAUACCUAAGUCUAUGAAGAGGUCAGGCAGAGCACUAGUUUGUAUUUUAACGUUUGAUGGACGUUUCUUCCCCCCUGAAGAUGUUGAACCUGUGUGCAAUAGAACACCGUCAAAGUUUUUCAUAACUACUCGUCGAAAUAUUCCUACGACUUAGUUUCUAGGUUAUGUACCUAAAACUUUGAAAUCUUCAAUCCCAUUUACGAGAAGAGUCAACACCUAGUAAACCGUUGUCAUAUAUACGAACCCGAAGAAGUCGUCGAAAUGGCUGUAGUAUGGGUCCUGUCGAACCCUAUCUUCAUGGUCUAAGUUCAUAUGUCGUACACAAAAUAGGAGUCCCUAAACGUGGUUGAUUAGUAGUACUUCAACGACGACUGAAACGAGUAAGAAGUCGACUAUUGUAAUUUGCCUGAGGACUUUCGAAUCGUUUGUGGUGACGACGUGGUACAUACAGUAGUGAUGGUUUUAUGUCAAGGACAGAACGACCUCUAAAGUCACCACCUCGCGGAUGACCGGUAUGUCUUCUGGUAAAGGGUCCACUACGAGUAGUUCAACUAUCGGGUGUUGGUAGCUGUAGACCAUCAAGGUCAAGACACAGACCUUACACACUGUCUUAGCGUUUAAAAUGUUUAUUGUUGUCUAUAAGGUGACCGGUUCAUAGUAGUAGAGAUGUCAUGUCUCUUACGUUCCUUUACAAUAUAUGAACCUCAGUGGGUUAUCUCGUUAGUCUAGUCAGUUUAUAGUGUCGACCUCCGGUACUGAACAUGAGACCAUUAACACAGUGACAUUCUCUCCAUCACCCCUCUCGACUCGUCUGUAGUUUAUCGUGACAUAGUUUCGGUUUAAGUGGACGAAGUCUACUUAGAAGACCGUUCGUAGUAGGCCGUUUUGCUAAUUUCCUGUCGUUACGAUCGUUAUGGUACCUCUUAAAAUCCAACGUUCUCUGACGACACGUUCGACUUCUUCCCAACACAAUACUUUUACCACUGUAGCUCUACUUCCUGAGAUUCGAAUCGAGUCACCUAGUUUGUAGUGAUCAUCGGUCGGAUUGGUGUUCCUUCUUUUCUCCCCCGAGUUAUGAAAUAGGAAAUUGACGACUCCUCGAAUCUCUAGUGUACUCUUCAGACCCGGUCGUAUAAAAAGGCUUGUUCCGCUAAUGUCUUCUCCUGGUCAGCCCGAACGGACUGGUUUUAUGUACGUUGAAUACACCCUACCUCGCCGAAGAAAAACUUGGAGGAGGUGCUAAGACACGAGACACAAAAUUUCAUUAUUUAAGCUGCCCUAGGAUAAUACAAGGACACCUUUUACCUUCACUAUUCUUAAGUUAUACACGGUUUACAGUGGUGGUACAAUCAUUACGUUUUCGAUUUAUAGUUUCCUCUAGGUUAAUACGUCUUUGUCUACGGCUCAGACUUACCACCCAACGCACACUAUUCACGUUUCGCACCGUCGUAGUUUAUACACGGGAAAAAUUGGGAUUCCAAUACCUCCUCCCCCACCUCAUAUGUACACGCUUUACAAAUAACUUCCUCUUCCUAUCACCUCUAUAUUUAAACGAGCUCAGUAGACGACAAGAACCUCGUAAUCUCAAUGGUUCUUGAUUUGACUCGCUAGUAUAGCUCGUCUCUGAAAGUCACGCCGAACUCGUGCUCGCCGACGUCUCCCGUUCCCGAAGUCCUUUUUCACAACUUCUCCAUGGACUUCAACUUCCAGAAUGACAAUCUCACCAAAGAAGACGACGUUCUCAUGAAGUUCAGGAUGGUGCAAAAGCCCUAAAAAAAUUUGUUCCUUUGAUGGGACCACUUAAAGGUAUGUUUAGCUUCCGGUAAGAGAACAAAGUUUUCUUACUUCCGCACCUACAAACAGAUAAACGGUACAUACAUGUUCUCAUACCAAGACGAUCGGGGAGUGGUUUAGUUUCCGUGCAAAUAGAACGUAUAUAGCUAAGACAGUUCAUGAAGUCCGGACUUUAGUUUAGACGUUCACCCCUUCGAGAGGCAUGGAAACAAAUGGUACUUUAAAACUAACCGAUAAACCUAAUGACGUUCUUUGUUCCUAAACAUUCGACGAGGUAUACCCGAACGGGUAGAUGUUUCGCACUACUAAUACAAAACAUAACAGUAGGGUGCCGUGUUUUUUACGGCUCCAGACUGUUCGAAGCCUCGACCAUGGUCUUGAACUAGUUCUUCCGACAAUUCCUCCCACAUCAACACCUCGCAUUAUGCGACAUGCUAAAAAAAGAAGUCGGAUGGUCACUUACGUUCCGGUAAUAAAGACGUCGUACGAACGGUAUAACACUCUUACUAAAGACCGGACCCCUUCGUCUCUUUGAGGAGCAGCUCUUCUUUCUGCUGUUGUGGAGUGUCUUCUUGUUGUAUGUUCGUCCUUCCCGGGAUGCCCAACGGUUUGCACUACUGUCCUUUCCGUUGGGACUCCUAUAGAACAAUCACGUGUUUGAACCUCUUUUCUACUCUUGUUACUUUCUUCUGAAAUAAUACGAAACAGACGUCGUCAAAACGUUCGUAACGGUGGUUGGAUAAAAUAGACCAUUUUCAACCUACACAUGAACGACGUUUUUGAAGGUAGAAACACUGGUUACGGUACGUCUCCUCGAUUCACGGGGUGUUUUCCUGUCCGUAGGUCGACGUUGUUUUGUUUUCGUACGGAAAGUUUCUUAUCUCCUUCUUGGAGAAGGUCUCUGACUACUACCUCUAGGUUGUUACCUUUCGUUCAUAAAACUGUCGUCUUGUCUAAAGAACUUCGUAACAGUUCUGUUAGUCAUGGUCAAACUAUGUGAAGCUGCCCGUUUCGUGAGUUGUUACUACUAAGAAAUAUUAGAUGUACUAAGUCGAACGAGACGGACAGUGGCCCGGUACCUAGUUGCGAAACGCACCGCCACGGACCAAACGUGACCGACGUUUAAAACACUAAGUACGAUAUUUGUUCUACCGCUUUUAAACGUGUAUGUAUUUGAGUUUGUCUGCCUGUUAGUCGUUGUUGACGGUUUGAUGUGAGACGUCCUAAUGGAACUCUCGAACCACGUACGUAGUUUUACGAAGGUACUAGGCGUAUUAACGUCAAAGUUUGACACACAAUGUUACUUCUUCAACAAGAUGGUACCACAUGCUACACCAUAGGCGUUGGUUCCUCCAACGUCCUUAACACAGAAGUACACCUCUGAAGACGAGUGAGUGAGUUUUGUCACACUAGUGCUCCUGACGAGUCAAGGGUCUACGUCUCUAGAUUUCCAUAAGUACCCGUUCCGGUUUUACGAAGGACGAUCUGGGACACGGCACCUUACGAUCGCCUAGUCUUUAAUUGGGGGAUCCAAAAGAGCUCGUCUUCUAAACAACUACUUUUACGUUAUUUAACAACAACAGGCAGCGCGCAAUUGGCCUAACGUUCAACGCUUUAUUUAUUUUGCCGCUGGACCACCGCCGCCGUCGUCGUCGUCGUCUCAAUAAACAAAGCGGCCAAAAGGACUUUGAACACCCUUCUUCCACCUCCGAAUGUAUCUGUCUGUCGGACUGUUUACAUCACCACAUCCAUGUUAUGGACAUAUACAAAGGACGUCCGGCAUCUACUACCUAGCUGUCCUAUAUCCUAAAAACAAAGAAUAAAUAAGAUAAGGGGGGGAAAACUGGGGUAACUUAACUCGUUCCGGUGUCAAAACGAGUCACCGUUUUAGGUCCAAGUCAAUUACACAUAUAAUUGAUAGGACAAUGGUAGAAACUACGAGGACUCUGAGACGGACGACGACAUUUUAAGACUUCUGCUGCAGUCCGCGAACACUGUUCCAAUAAACAAAAAAAUGAGACUCGACCAAAGUUUCUUCUAAAAUCUUUGAGGUUAACAUUAUUGUAGACGUAUCUUAUAUAAAAGACAUC